rnacentral:lncRNA from 1 species
AUUCCUACGGACUUCCUGGACUGCCUUCCCUGGCCUGUGGAAGGGUAACCCUCCCCAAAAAACCUGUUGUCCUCCUUUUGUGAGUGGAUAACCCUUCCUCACUACCCACCCACUUUUAAUUGGAUAUGGUUAGGCAGAGGGAGGAAUAACUAAAUACCUACGGGAGAAAAGAUGAGAAAGAAGAAAGAACUAAAUGCUGCAUUAGGAGGGGGAAUCAAAGAUAUCUGAGGUCAUUUUCUUUUAUUUCCUUCCACUUCUUCCUUGCACAGAAAAAGAAAAUACAGUGAGAAGCAAUGUACAUAAAUAUACAUAUAUAUACUUUUAUAUGGAAAUGUGUCUAGCUCUACAAAUGAGUUUUUGCUUCUAGAUGUUGACAAGUAUGCCUGAGUCUGAGAUAGUGAAAGUGCAAGUCAUCGAACAAAAAGCUGUGUGGAAAGCAGCAGAGAAAAUGCAUUUGAAGAAAAGGGAAACUACUUAAAGCAUGUCUUUUCAAGAGACUAAAUUCCCUGGUCAAAACUGCAAUAAGCAAGACAAAACACAACAUUCCUCACUGGGGAAGAAGUGCAGGAAAUAUAAGAAUAGAAGACAGCAGGCGAGUAUCUGUUCAAGAGACAGCAUAUGUAAAGAUCUCUUCACAAGUGUUCCAGAAAUAUUCCACAGGAAAAUGACUGAAAUUCUUUAAACCCUGGAGUAAAUGGAAGGCACUAGAACUGAACAGAAAUCAAAAGAAUAUCCCACUGUUAAAUCAAUGUCUAAGAUAACAGAAGUUUCUGGAUAAAACUUAUACAGAGAAAAAUGUACAUUAUGACAAACCUCAACAUACCUCUUAGGCCAUGAAAAGGGUUAUAACAGAUCUAUAAAUGCUACAGGUAAAAUGGCACCAUAGAAAAUGUAACUGUUCUUUGUAUGAUACAAUUUUAGAGUAAAUUUUUAAAGUCCUAUUCUUACAAAGCCAACCUUGUCACAAGGAACUUAAAAUAAAGCCUUUCUGAUGUUUAGUCA